rnacentral:rRNA from 1 species
CCUACGGGGGGCAGCAGUGGGGAAUAUUGGGCAAUGGGGGGAACCCUGACCCAGCGACGCCGCGUGAGGGAAGAAGGUUUUCGGAUUGUAAACCUCUGUCCUUGGUGACGAUAAUGACGGUAGCCAAGGAGGAAGCCACGGCUAACUACGUGCCAGCAGCCGCGGUAAUACGUAGGUGGCGAGCGUUGUCCGGAAUUACUGGGUGUAAAGGGAGCGUAGGCGGGAGAGCAAGUCGACUGUGAAAUCUAUGGGCUUAACCCAUAGCUGCGAUCGAAACUGUUCAUCUUGAGUGAAGUAGAGGCAGG